rnacentral:lncRNA from 1 species
GCGGUGGGGAUAAUAUCGGUUUCAAUAGGAUUGGCGUUAGCGGCCUCUUGGAUACAAAUUUCUUUCUUUAUUGCUUUGCGUAAACUUGAAAUAUCCCAAUCAUCAUUACCGUGGUCUCGAGUAAUGUUUUGUCUGACAAAACAUGGAAGUUUGUUGAGUAUUAGUGGUAUUAAUAGGCUUCCGUACGAUUCCUGAUAUCGACCCAUUCCUUCUAGUUCACGUAUAUUACUUUCUAUUGUGUCACUGAACGAUUUCAGUCCCCUAAUUCCGGGCGUUGGUGCAGGCAAAUUUAGCAAAUUUUGCAUGUAUGCGUUUACUAUUUUGUGUUGUUGGCCAAAUCUCUCGUGUAGAAUUUGUAUUGCUUGAUUAUAGUUUGUAUUAGUCAUUUGCAUUCCCGAAAUACACUGGCUAGCUUCUCCAUAAAGUUGCGAUUUUAAAUAAUUAAAUCGUUGCACGUCACUCAAUGAAGGAUUUUCAUGUACGGAAUUAUUAUAGGAAUCCCAAAAGGCUGACCAUUCCAGUAGAUUUCCGCCGAAAGUUGGCAAGUUGAGUUUAGGCAAUUUGUUAUAAUGACUUGACACUGUGGAGGUGGGCAUGCUUGACUGGCUUAGGCUUGUUUGCUCUGAGUUGAAA